UAGCUGCCUAGGGCUAGCUAGCUGGCUAGGGUUAGGAAAACUCUAACAUUUUCGUACAGUAUUGAUUUUCGCUUGAUCGAGCGACCAGGGUAUCUGACUGCGAUGCGCGCCUCCUUGGCCGGGCCGGCCAGCCGGGCUGGUCGACUCGCGGCUCUAGCUAGCUACUAGACUGGACGCCAAACGGUGUCGUGAAUGCAUGCACAUUUUUGCAGGAUCGACAUGAUUGCUGUCGACGUCGAUGUCGAGGCAGCUUACUCGACGAGCUGGACGAAGGCUGUAACAAACCUGUGCAGCAUUUGAUCGUGAGGCUGUUUGAACAACCACAUACAUGUACUUAGACCAGCACUUAGACCAGCUUAGCAUCAGGAUGCAUGUCAAUGUGAAGAGGCUGUGAAACCUCUCCAAAUGCAGGUAACAAACCUGUGCAGUAUUUGAUCGUGAGGCUGUUUGAACAACCACAUACUUAGACCAGCACUUAGACCAGCUUAGCAUCAGGAUGCAUGUCAAUGUGAAGAGGCUGUGAAACCUCUCCAAAUGCAGGUACCAUACCUGUGCAGCAUUUGAUCGAGAGGCAGUUUGAACAACCACAUACUAGACCAGCACUUAGACCAGCACUUAGACCAGCUUAGCAUCAGGAUGCAUGUCACUGUGAAGAGGCUGUGAAACAUCCUUAAAUGUUGGGUAUCGAUGGAUAUAGGGUUAACCACACAGUUUAUCACCCCAAUGCGUCAGAGAAAGGACAUCAAUACUGAAGUGGGUAUGCAAAUGGAUUCUAUCUAUUCAAAACCAUGAAAGAACCUGCUAUGGCACAACCAGUAAUGAUGUUUCCCUCAAGCGGAAAGCAGUAGAGUGGACUUUCGUUUGAUUAGUCGCCACUAGCACCACAGAAUUCAUGUACAUUACAGCAGGGGUGUGCAUGAUCCUAACAGACAGCCAUUACCAACAUAAUCAAGGCCAUAUUGAAUGUUAUUGAAAUGUAUGUUUUCCAUAAGUUUCAGUAAAUGGAAAGCAUUGUCACUUUUUGUUUAAAUUCCUAUUGCUUAAAGAGGUAGUUCAGUUUUGGUAAAGUGGGUGCUACACAAAAUAAUUUGUUUGUGAGAUAAUGAAAAUCAAGUGUUAAAUUUGAAAUUUAGAAACAGCUGAAAUAUCAAUAAAUAUAUCCAGUCAGAAUAAAUUUGGGCCCCAAAUUUAUAAGAUGAUUUUUCUAAAAAUUAAUAAAAUGCUUACACUUUU